UAUUGUUUUCUUUUUUAACCCAAAUAGGAAGGUACAUUAUCAGUCUGGAAUCGCGAUGCCUCUGAUUACUUCAGUACGACACGUAUCCGAGAUACACUACGUAGGAUAUUAAAUAUACCUGUUACCGUGCCAAUGGAGUAUAAGAUACACUGUGAUAGCCUUAAAUAUGUAGCAAUUAAUAAAGGCCCUGCAACAAAAAGCUGAAAUUCAGUGAAUUUGUGUUAAAACAAAAUAUAAAACAAAAAAACUACAAAACAAUAUCAACCGAUAUAUAAAAAAAGAUAUUUAUCCCAAAAAUAAAUAAACAAAAACAAUUGUAAAAAAAAAACACACAAAACACAAAAAGUUA